rnacentral:rRNA from 1 species
CAGUAGCCGCGGUAAAACGGAGGAUCCAAGCGUUAUCCGGAAUCAUUGGGUUUAAAGGGUCCGUAGGCGGUCUUGUAAGUCAGUGGUGAAAGCCCAUCGCUCAACGGUGGAACGGCCAUUGAUACUGCAGGACUUGAAUUAUUGGGAAGUAACUAGAAUAUGUAGUGUAGCGGUGAAAUGCUUAGAAAUUACAUGGAAUACCAAUUGCGAAGGCAGGUUACUACCAAUUGAUUGACGCUGAUGGACGAAAGCGUGGGUAGCGAACAGGAUUAGAUACCCGUGUAGUCCCUGUCUCUUAUAC